UCGGUUGAUCCUGCCGGAGGUCACUGCUAUCGGGGUUCGAUUUAGCCAUGCGAGUUGAGAGGGUUCAGACCCUCGGCGGACUGCUCAGUAACACGUGGAUAACCUGCCCUAAGGUGGAGAAUAACCCCGGGAAACUGGGGAUAAUACUCCAUAGAAUACAGAAACUGGAAUGUUCUGUAUCCAAAAGCUCCGGCGCCUUAGGAUGGAUCUGCGGCCGAUUAGGUUGUUGUUGGGGUAACGGCCCAACAAGCCCGUAAUCGGUACGGGUUGUGGGAGCAAGAGCCCGGAGAUGGACUCUGAGACACGAGUCCAGGCCCUACGGGGCGCAGCAGGCGCGAAAACUUUACAAUGCAGGAAACUGUGAUAAGGGAACCCCGAGUGCCCGUAAACGCGGGCUGUUUAGGUGUCUAAAAAGCACUUCGAGAAAGGGCCGGGUAAGACCGGUGCCAGCCGCCGCGGUAAUACCGGCGGCUCGAGUGGUGACCACUUUUAUUGGGCUUAAAGCGUUCGUAGCUGGAUUGUUAAGUCCCUUGGGAAAUCUAACGGCUUAACCGUUAGGCGUCUAAGAGAUACUGGCAAUCUAGGGACCGGAAGAGGUGAGAGGUACUCCAGGGGUAGGAGUGAAAUCCUGUAAUCCCUGGGGGACCACCUGUGGCGAAGGCGUCUCACCAGGACGGCUCCGACAGUGAGGGACGAAAGCUGGGGGAGCAAACCGGAUUANAUACCCGGGUAGUCCCAGCCGUAAACGAUGCGCGUUAGGUGUAUCGGUGACCGCGAGUUACCGAGGUGCCGAAGGGAAACCGUGAAACGUGCCGCCNGGGAAGUACGGUCG
rnacentral:rRNA from 1 species